rnacentral:rRNA from 1 species
UUAAUACCCCAUAAGUAUAUUUGAUAAGGCAUCUUAUUAAUAUUAAAGCUUCGGCACUUGAUGAUGGGUGUGCGGCUGAUUAGAUAGUUGGCGGGGUAACGGCCCACCAAGUCUACGAUCAGUAGCUGAUGUGAGAGCAUGAUCAGCCACACGGGUACUGAGUACACGGGCCCGACUCCUACGGGAGGCAGCAGUAAGGAUAUUGGACAAUGGACGAAAGUCUGAUCCAGCCAUGCCGCGUGAAGGAUUAAGGUCCUCUGGAUUGUAAACUUCUUUUAUAUGGGACGAAAAAAGGGCAUUCUUGUUCACUUGACGGUACCAUAUGAAUAAGCACCGGCUAACUCCGUG